GUACUUGCUUCGGCAGCACAUAUGCUAAAAUUGGAACAGUGCAGAGAAGAUUAGCAUGGCCCCUGCACAAGGAUGACAUGCAAAUUCAUUAAGUGUUCCAUAUUAAA
ensembl:snRNA U6 U6 spliceosomal RNA